CAGUGCUGGAAUACAUCCAGGACUUCUCAAACUAUAAUUAACAGACAUUUGGCAGAAACCCACAGGCUGCAGGCAGUUCCUCCCAGGACUGUUACCUGCUCCUGCCCAGCAGGAAUUUAUUCCAUGACUUUUGUCAGGGGCUGACAGACAGGACCAAACUCUAGACCAGUGGUCAGCACUUCAGCUGCAUGAAGCUGUUUGCCUUGCCCAUUCUUCUACUCCUUCAGACCUGUCAUAACCACUGAAAGCUGCAGUAUUUUUGAAGUAAGAACCUCUUCUUUUGAGGUAUCUUCAUAAGAGAACAUGAUGACAGGGAAAUCUGCCAGGUCCGGAUCAACUGGGAAGGCAGAAGAGCUAGAGCUGCACACUAAAUGGGCAGAUUUUGUUAAAAAAGUUCACCCACUCAAUUUGGAAAUGUUCAGCUCCAGUGAAGUGGUAUUAUAAUGAAGAUUGCAUUUUACUUAUUAACACAAAGUGACUUAGUUAGCAAUUAAUUAUUGUAACUAUAACAACAUUCUGCUCACAUCUGUAUGUAUCAACUUUCAGCCUGAAGUUACUGUUCAUGCUGUGUUGCUGAAAUAAAUACUGCCAUAAAAAUG